GGAGGAAAGAAACCAACAGGGAUUGCCUCAGUAACGGCGAGUGAAGCGGCAACAGCUCAAAUUUGAAAUCUGGCGUCUUCGGCGCCCGAGUUGUAAUUUGCAGAGGAUGCUUCGGCGUAGGCGCCGCCCAAAGUUCCUUGGAACGGGACGUCGCAGAGGGUGAGAGCCCCGUGUUCGGGCGGAUGCCGUCGCCAUGUGAAGCUCCUUCGACGAGUCGAGUUGUUUGGGAAUGCAGCUCAAAACGGGAGGUAAAUUUCUUCCAAAGCUAAAUACCGGCCGGAGACCGAUAGUGCACAAGUAGAGUGAUCGAAAGAUGAAAAGCACUUUGGAAAGAGAGUCAAACAGCGCGUGAAAUUGUUAAAAGGGAAGCGCUUGCGGUCAGAACUUGGCCGCCGUUGCUCGGGGAGGUCUCGCGCCUCCCUCGCUCUUCGGCGGCUGGGCCAGCAUCGGUUCGGGCGGCUCGAGAAAGGUCGUGGGAACGUAGCUCCCUCCGGGGAGUGUUAUAGCCCGCGGCGCAAUAGGGCCCGCCUGGACCGAGGUCUGCGCAUCUGCUCGGAUGCUGGCGUAAUGGCCCCAAGCGGCCCGUCUUGAAACACGGACCAAGGAGUCUAACAUUCGUGCGAGUGUUCGGGCGUUAAACCCGUGCGCGCAAUGAAAGUGAACGUAGGUGGGAGCCCCUUGUGGGUGCACCAUCGACCGAUCCAAAUGUUUUCGGAUGGAUUUGAGUAUGAGCACGUAUGUUGGGACCCGAAAGAUGGUGAACUAUGCCUAAACAGGGCGAAGCCAGAGGAAACUCUGGUGGAGGCUCGCAGCGGUUCUGACGUGCAAAUCGAUCGUCAAAUUCGGGCAU
rnacentral:rRNA from 1 species